CUCCGCAUCGCUCCAGCAGCAGCAGCUGAUUUCAAAGCGGUGGUGAACAGGAGGGAGAAGGACGUAUGUCGAUUCGCCAAGGUGCCUGGAAAACUGAAGGAAACGCUGCAAGGGACAGCUUUUAGAUAUCUCGGGGCCUGCCAAUUAGGACUCCGUUCAGGGUCGAUUACAUCGGUUUUUCAUUCACUGUGAAAUAGAGCCUGUUAUUUAUACCACAAGAUGGGCAAUCGGGGAAUGGAGGACUUGAUUCCUCUGGUAAACAGACUGCAGGACGCCUUCUCUGCCAUCGGACAAAAUGCCAACCUGGACCUUCCUCAGAUCGCUGUGGUCGGCGGCCAAAGUGCUGGGAAAAGCUCGGUUUUGGAGAACUUCGUUGGGAAGGAUUUUCUGCCUCGUGGCUCGGGUAUUGUCACUCGGCGCCCCCUAGUGCUGCAGCUUAUCAACUGCCCUACUGAAUAUGCUGAGUUUUUGCAUUGCAAAGGGAAGAAGUUUACAGAUUUUGAUGAGGUUCGUCAGGAAAUUGAAGCAGAGACCGAUCGCAUCACUGGCCAAAACAAAGGCAUUUCACCGGUUCCUAUCAAUCUGCGCGUCUGUUCGCCUCAUGUUUUGAAUCUCACCCUUGUGGACUUGCCUGGGAUGACCAAAGUGCCAGUAGGGGACCAGCCGCAUGACAUUGAGUUUCAGAUCAGGGAUAUGCUAAUGCAGUUUGUGACGAAGGAGAACUGCUUGUUGCUGGCUGUGUCUCCGGCCAACUCUGACCUGGCCAAUUCAGAUGCCCUCAAGAUUGCCAAGGAGGUGGACCCUCAGGGUUUGAGAACUAUAGGUGUGAUCACUAAAUUGGAUCUAAUGGAUGAAGGAACCGAUGCACGUGACAUCCUGGAGAACAAGCUUCUUCCUUUACGUAGAGGCUACAUUGGGGUUGUGAACCGCAGUCAGAAGGACAUUGAUGGCAAGAAGGACAUCACUGCUGCAAUAGCGGCGGAGAGGAAGUUCUUCCUCACCCAUCCAGCCUACCGUCACCUGGCCGAUCGCAUGGGGACUCCGUACCUGCAGAAAGUUCUUAACCAGCAAUUAACUAACCACAUCCGAGACACUCUGCCAGGACUGAGGAACAAACUUCAGAGCCAGCUACUGUCCAUUGAGAAAGAGGUGGAGGAGUACAAGCACUUCCGCCCUGACGAUCCUUCCCGCAAAACCAAGGCUCUGCUCCAGAUGGUGCAGCAGUUUGCGGUGGAUUUUGAGAAGUGCAUUGAGGGUUCAGGAGAUCAGGUGGACACAGUGGAGCUGUCUGGAGGUGCGAGGAUCAAUCGCAUCUUUCAUGAGCGCUUCCCCUUUGAGCUGGUUAAGAUGGAGUUUGAUGAGAAAGAGCUGCGUAAGGAGAUCAGUUACGCCAUCAAGAACAUCCACGGUAUCAGAACCGGUCUGUUUACUCCAGACAUGGCAUUCGAGACUAUUGUUAAACGGCAGAUUGCAAAGAUCAAAGAGCCAUGUCAGAAAUGUGUGGACCUUGUCAUCACUGAGCUGGUCAAUACAGUCAGGCAGUGCACCAAGAAGCUGGCUCAGUACCCCAUGCUUAGAGAGGAAAUGGAGAGGAUUGUCACCCAGCACAUUCGAGAUCGAGAGAGUCGCACCAAGAAUCAGGUCAUGUUGCUAAUUGACAUCGAGUUAGCAUACAUGAACACCAAUCAUGAGGAUUUCAUCGGUUUUGCAAAUGCCCAGCAGAGAAGCAGUCAGAUGAAUAAGAAGAAGGCUGCUGGCAAUCAGGAUGAGAUAAUGGUGAUCAGAAAGGGUUGGCUGACCAUCAAUAAUAUUGGCAUCAUGAAAGGAGGAGCCAAGGAAUACUGGUUUGUCCUGACCGCUGAGAAUCUGUCCUGGUAUAAAGAUGAUGAGGAGAAAGAGAAGAAGUACAUGCUGCCAUUGGACAACCUGAAGCUCAGAGAUAUAGAGAAGAGUUUCAUGUCCAGCAAGCACGUGUUUGCUCUCUUUAACACUGAACAAAGGAACGUGUAUAAAGACUACAGGCAGCUUGAGUUGGCAAGCGACACUCAGGAGGAGGUGGACAGCUGGAAGGCGUCCUUCCUGCGAGCUGGAGUUUACCCAGAGCGCAUCACUCAGAGUGAUGCUAGUGAGGAGAACGGCUCAGAUGGCUUCAUGCACUCCAUGGAUCCUCAGCUUGAGAGGCAGGUGGAGACCAUCAGGAACCUUGUGGAUUCCUACAUGGCCAUUGUCAACAAGACUGUGCGGGACCUCAUGCCCAAGACCAUCAUGCAUCUCAUGAUCAACAACACUAAGGAAUUCAUCCAUGCUGAGUUGCUGGCUAACUUGUACUCAUGUGGAGACCAGAACUCUCUGAUGGAGGAGUCAGCAGAACAGGCUCAGCACAGGGAAGAGAUGCUGCGCAUGUACCACGCUCUGAAAGAGGCCCUCAACAUCAUCGGGGACAUCAGCACCACCACCGUCUCCACUACCAUGCCCCCGCCCGUGGAUGACUCCUGGCUGCAGGUACAAGGAGGACCUUCAGGGCGCAGAUCUCCAAUGUCUAGUCCCACUCCCCAGCGUCGGGCCCCUCCUGGGCCCCCUCGUCCAGGUGUGCGCACUGCCCCAGGACCCCCUACCGCUGGAGCACCUCCUGUGCCAUCCAGACCCGGGGCCUCUCCUGACCCAUUCGGCGGCCCCCCGCCCCAGGUCCCGUCUCGUCCAAACCGCGCCCCACCAGGUGUCCCAAGCACUUCUGCCCUGACCUGAUCCCCGGUCUUUAACACAAGAAAGACAGAUCAGUAUCACUCUUCCUGCUAUUUCUACUUUUCUCGCCUGUCACAAUCCAUUACUUUUUCUCAGCUUGCACACUCCUACACACAGUCUAACUCAGAAACCUGCACUCACAAACCACUCACACAUUUUCAGCUACGCUGGUUUUCUUUCUCCAUUUCCUUGCCAUGUGCAUAUUCAUUCAGACAUUGUUUUAAAUCAUUCAGUUUAUGUAUUGUUUGUACUGUAUAGUAACAUCAGUGCAUCAGCUUUGUGAAAUCAUUCUCUCAUGAUAUACAUGUUUGGGAGGAAAAUGUGAGGAAUACUGACCAGUUUAACAGGACAAACCAUGGAGUAAUAAGUUUUUGCUUCCUCCCAUUGCCUCUUAUCUGUCGACCCAUGUUCUCCUCAAACGCAGUCCCACUAAAUCCCUUCCACAAUGAUUCCGGUUAUUGUUUCAGAAUUUCUAUCAGUGACCAAUGAGGAGUUACGCAAAUGUCGGAGGGCACCAGCCUCCCCUACCAGAUCCAACAGAGGCUCGCUCACUGAGCAUUAACACUGGCGAUCAGCAGACAGAGGAAAAUCACUGACCCCUCUGCCACUGUAUCACAUGCAUGCACACAAGAACAGUCCACACACAUAUCACAUGUUUACUUAAAAGAGUAUUUACUCUUCCCCAAUUAUACACCAGGAAUAUUAUAAAUUGGUCUAAUAACUGUAUACCGUUCACAUUCACAUGAGCGCAGAUGUGGUGCCAUUGCAUUCCAUUACCAGCAUAUAUCCUGUAUUUAGGAAUGAAGAACACUAGUUAUAAAAUGCACAGGGAUUGUCCAUGUACCAGCCUAUUUCGCAGUUUGCUUUAGUAUUUAUUCACAUGGAUGCCAGAUGACACUGGCAUGUUAUUGUCUUUAUUAUCAACCACUAAGCCUUAACCAGCAUCAGACCAGUUAACCCCUGAACCCCUGAAUAAACAUGACCUGCAUGUUUUUCUUAAAAAAUAGCCAUGUUACCUUUCCUACUGCAUCAUUAAAUUCUAUGCUGCAGUCUUAUUUCUUAACAAUGAACAAGUUUCAUCUUACUCUUCUAGAGUCUUUUAUAAAAUGUUUUGGAUUUUUAUUUUAUUUUAUUUUUAAAUAAUAACCACGUUUUAACAAGUUUUUGAGAUUUUAUGAUUUAAUAUAGUACCUAUUAAUGUCUGAAUGUUAUAUUGCACCUUUCUGAUAUUGAUUUACAUUAAAAUCAUUAACAGUAAAUAAUACAAAAAAAUCAGUUCAUAUUCAGAACUGUUUAAAAAAAAGUUUUUUAUGCUGGAACAUAAUUAUGUUUCUCAAUAAUGAUUCUCACACAUGCAUUAGUGCACAGAAGGAAUAGAUGUACACUAAUGUUCUCACAGCUGGAGCUGUUAAAUUCUAUCUAAUAAAAGAGAAAAAAAUAAUAAUAUAUAUUUUUCACAUUUGUCAUCACCAUCACAUUCACAAGUGCUAAUAUUAACGUAAGUGAACAAAAACAAGCCAUCAUAACCAUUUGACAUUGACAAAGCCAUUCUUCCUACUAUCCAUGCUGUCAUUUCCCAAGCUUUUUUCCUUUUUUUGUUUUAUGUGUUGUUCUUUUUGUCUUUUAGCCGUCCAAACAAAGGAAGCCCUUCUCACAGUGAGAAUCCACAUCCUUCAUUUGACUCUUAGAGCCAAUCGUCUUUCCUCCUCCUCCUCCUCCUCCUCCUCCUCUCUUUCUGUCUCUCCACCACCUCUCUUUCUCUGUGCUUUAUCUCUGACCGAGUGCAUCCUGGGAUGGCCGAAUGCCGAGCAUUACUGCAGCAGCAAGUACGGAUGAAGUGGCUGAAAGAAAAGUCCGAAAGAUAAAUGAAGAAUGUGGGAAAGCUCAUUCCCUCGGUCUGUACUAUAUACACUAAUCACAUUGUAAUGGGCAUCUGAAUAAUACGCCCAGUGUGGACUUGUGUCAGCAUAUGAUUAUACUGAAUUAUACUGAAGAUGCUGUGUGGUGUUAGUGUUUACACACUAGUCAAGGUCGACUUGAUCUAUAUAGAGGUGUCACAUGAGCUAAAGGUGUAAGCUUACAUUCCUGACUGCACGCCAGUAUACAUGGUAGCGGAUACACAAAAUACACAAAACUUCAUGGUUUUGCACUUAUGUGGUACUGUGUGUGAAUGUAUUCUUCCUGAGGUUUGAACCUUAUUUGAUCCCACAGUGUUUGUUUUGUCCACAAUGUCUCUUGUGUUUUCCCUAGAGAAGUAAUAAGUCCUGUCAGAUUGAAAUGUACAUACAUUAGAAUAUAUAUUAUUAAGAUGUGUGGUAUGAAAAAAGUCUCAGAAUUAUGUUUAUGUGACACUUUCAAGUCAGUGCGAUUUAUUUAUUUGUUGAUGCAGUAGUGGAAACUAUCCGACCAAAGAGAAUGGUUGGUGAAUCUGUCUGUCAGCGGUUGAAAUAUUAUUGAUAAAUACAUUCAAGAAUCCUUCAUACCCUGACAUGAGUUUAAAUGAAUAUAGCACCUGUUCUUACUGAUUAUAUGGUGAACAGAUUCUGUUACUGUGUUGAUGUAUAUUUUUUGUGCAUCUCUGGGAGUUGUGCUUCUGUUGCCUUGUGUCGACGUGUACAUUUACUAGGUAUUGAUAAUGAAGUCAUUGUAUUGAAAAUGAAAUGAUUGUAAAAUACAAGUUUAAGGUUAGUAUAUGUGUGUAUAUAUGGAGGGGUCUGCGGGCAACACCAAAAUCUCCACUCUGUAGUGGAAGAGGUGUGUGUAUGAAUCUUACUGCUGCCAUGUGUAUCUUAUUGUGGUCUGGUGUCAUAAACUGGCCAAUGCUUUGUGAUUAAAUUAAAGUGUCUUUGUGUGGAAGAUAA